rnacentral:rRNA from 1 species
CCUACGGGAGGCAGCAGUGAGGAAUAUUGGUCAAUGGGCGGAAGCCUGAACCAGCCAAGUAGCGUGCAGGAUGACGGCCCUACGGGUUGUAAGCUGCUUUUAUACGGGAAUAACGCGCCUUACGUGUAGGGCUUUGCAUGUACCGUAUGAAUAAGGACCGGCUAAUUCCGUGCCAGCAGCCGCGGUAAUACGGAUGGUCCGGGCGUUAUCCGGAUUUAUUGGGUUUAAGGGGAGCGUAGGCCGCAUGUCAAGCGUGCUGUGAAAUGUCCGGGCUCAACCCGGGCCUUGCAGCGCGAACUGGCGUGCUUGAGUCCGCGGAAGGCAGGCGGAAUUCGUCGUGUAGCGGUGAAAUGCUUAGAUAUGACGAAGAACCCCGAUUGCGAAGGCAGCUUGCUGCAGCGGAACUGACGUUGAUGCUCGAAAGCGCGGGUAUCGAACAGGAUUAGAUACCCUAGUAGUC